ACAACAUUUUCAUGCGUUUACUGAAUAUGGACGUUGUCAUCCUGGACGAGACAACUCCCAUCAGUAUAGAAAUGUAUUUGUAUUUGUAUUGACCCUGAAAGCAACAUACCUCCACUGCAUAACAAAGCCACCAGCUUUGAUAUGUCAACUGUCUGUAUUUCAAAAGAGUAAAAGAGACAAAAGAUAUGUUAGUAAGGUUGAGGUUAAGGUCAGGGGUAGGUUUAAGUGUAACAUUAUUUAGCUACAUUAAUACAUGAGUGAAUAAAAUACCUCACAGAGUGUUCAAGCAUGAGUCAGUGGUGUUCGGAGGUGUUUCUCUGACCAGACUGUGGUUGUGCAGUGUGUUGAUGGGCUGGAUAAAGAGCUGGCCCAGGAGGAAAUCCUAAUAGCUCGCUCUCUCUCUCUCUCUCUCUCUCUCCUCUCUCUCUCUCUCUCUCUCUCUCUCUCUCUUUCGCUCUGUGACCAUGUGCUCUGCCGUAUGUCUGUCUCCACUAAAUUACUAUAUAGACAUGAAAUAUAUGAAUUUAAUGGCAAGACAUCAAAUGUGUUUUCCUUGAAGUCUUUUUUCCCCAUUUUCUUUUCAUUUUAAAUUUGUCCCAAUCUUGGUGUUUUGAUGUUUUCCCUUUUGCAUAUCUUUCUUUGUCACAUCAGAUUUGUCCUGAUUUGGAUGUUGUGGCUGGGGAAACCAAAGAGGAAGGCAUAUCAUGCAAAUGUCACGUCAUCAGCUCGGGCCACCAGCCUAAAAUAUUGGAUGCAUUUUGCUUCCAGCUGUCUGGCAAAUGCUGCUCCGCUGACCCGAGAUCAUCCUGACUGUGCUGUUUUAGUGGUUACUCUGACUCCCAGGGGUCAACAGUGGAUCACUUUCUGCCCUCCAGCAGUGAGAGUAGGUGCUAAUGGGUGUAUUCCCGCCAUCUUGCACCCAGUGUUCCUGGGAUAGACUCUGGAUCCACCGUAACCCUGACCAGGAUAAAGUGGUUCAUGAAAAGAUAGGUGAUGCCUCCCUCCCUGGAUACCUACAUUCUCUGAUCACAGGUCUGUGAAGUGGAGUGACAGUGUGGAGCAGUGGCAGUGAUCAGGAGUGGAGUUCUUCCUGCAGGGCUAUUUGGACAGGAGGAGCCUCCGCUGGCCUUCAGAGCUGGAAAGUAUGUGUACUGUGGCCACUGGCCCACCUCCCAGCCUGGGAACGGAAGCCGGGAGUCGCCAGGGAAAACAACUAGACAAUCAGGUAGGAGAGAGAGAGGGAGAGGGAAAGAACAGCACAAGAGAGAGAACAUACGCAGGGAAAGUUAAGAGCUUUCUCAAGUGUAGUUGUGGUUUUGAAACAAUUUUCACUGGCUAUUUUGGUUCUUACUGUAUAGUAAUCAGGAGUGUGUAAGUGUGCAUGUGUGUGUAAAUGUAUGUAUUGUUUUCCUGACCUGGUUCACUGUGUGUUGAAAGCUGAUCCUGUAACAGAGCGUUUGUACAGCGUGUGUGUGAGGGGUGUUGUUUUGGGGAGCAAGUAGGUAUUAUUGUCUUUGUGCCUUUGUGAAGUUUUUACAUCGAUUAUAAUAUAAUAAUAUAAAAGGAAAUUGUUUGUGCUUUUUAGUUUUUCAAAUAAAAGUAACAUUUCUGGUGUAUAAAACUAUUUAUAACUGUGUGUGGGUGUGGGUGUAUGUGUGUCUGUGUGUGUGUAAAUAGUGACAGUAGCCAGCAAGGGACACAGUGGGUUCAGGCCAGGUGAAUAGGAGCAGCCUGUUUCCAACAGAGGGUCCUGCUGUCCUGCACGUACAUCAUGUUUGAGUGGGGGUCUCUCUCACUAUCUCUCACUCUCACUCACGUUUUACUCUCUCAAUUUCUUUCUGAGCUGAAGGAUGAAUGCCUCAGAACUGAAUGGAAAUGAUGAAUGAUGAAUGGUGGAAUAAGGUAGUAGUGAAUGAAAGGAUUGUGGGAAUGUAGGGAAUGAAUGAAAGCCUGGAAAUAAUAAAUGGUUUUAAAGGCAAAAUUGGGCUGCAUUCAAACUCUGCAAAAAAUAACUGAAUGGUUUGAACACAUGAGUGUCUGAGUGCAAGAAAUAAUUACGAGCAGUAUAUUAUUAGCUUGGGAACAUGGUGUUGCACAGCGCAUUAAACAUAAAGUAUGAUUAUACUGUACAUGUGAUCAUACAUGUAAUUUAUUAAUUCUGGUGCUUGCACUUGUUAGUUCAAUUCACCCUAUAGUGCACUAUUUGGGUGUCGUAUAUUUGUAGUGUUGUAUAUGUAUUUUCACUGGACGAACGUUUUUUUUUACAAAUAAUUAACUAUAUUAUUCUCUUUAAAGCAAGGAAUAAGUAUGACAAGGGAAAGCGAUUUCUUUUAGCUUGGCAUGGUUGCUGGAGCAGCUAACAAUAAUAUAAAUAUAUUAUUGUUAUUUAACCACCGAUGAAGCCAACAUGUACUGUACAUGUUCUGUUUUUCUGGUUUCAGUUCGCAAACUAGGCCUACUUUCAUUCUAAUAACAUACUGAAUAACAUUCACUCCCAAGUAAGUGUACUCCAAAUUUAGUCCAGUGUCUCCCUAUUGCUGCCCUAUACACAGCUGCUACAGUGAAAGAGUGAGUGAGAGAAUGAUUUCAAACAAACAUUGCAAUAAGAGAUGGCAUAAAUCAGUUAAUAAAAAAAUAAGAUAAUAGAAUCUACCUAGUUUUCAAAUCUCAUUUGUCAUUAAAAACACUCCAUUUGCAAAUAUAUUAAAAUGUGUAAUUACAGGAAAUACUUUUCAUUAAGUGCACUGAUUAAUUGCUAUGGAAUAAGUGAUGGUGGUGUUUGUUGACGAUGAGUAAAGAGGAUGUUCUGGCAGAUAGAGCGAACGUUGCGGCGGUUUUGGCUAGGCAGUGUAGAAGAGAGAGUGAAAAAGAGGGGUGUAGAGAUAAAUGUCGCUAUUGUAUGAAUAUAUGCACUCUCGUGCAACAGAAAUGAUCAAGCACAGCACAUAUUAAAAAACACUCCACAGUUCAGAAUUGAGAAGGGUUCAAAAAAUUGUUUUGCCAAAAUAAGCUUGUCAUUUAUUUGCAGUGUUCAGUAUAUUACAAGAGCAUAGCACGUUUUCAUCACAUUUGUGUCUUUUUCUUUUUUCUUUUUUUUUUGCUAUGCUGUGCUGUAGGAUCAUUUGUACUUCCAAAUGGCCAGUGAUCAUGGAGCAA
ensembl:lncRNA